CCUACGGGUGGCUGCAGUGGGGGAUAUUGCACAAUGGGGGAAACCCUGAUGCAGCGACACCGCGUGGGUGAAGAAGCGCCUCGGCGCGUAAAGCCCUGUCAGCAGGGAAGAAAAUGACGGUACCUGAAGAAUAAUCCCCGGCUACCUACGUGCCAGCAGCCGCGGUAAUACGUAGGGGGCAAGCGUUAUCCGGAUUUACUGGGUGUAACGGGGGCGCAGACGGCGAUGCAAGCCAGGAGUGAAAGCCCGGGGCCCAACCCCGGGACUGCUCUUGGAACUGCGUGGCUAGAGUGCAGGAGGGGCAGGCGGAAUUCCUGGUGUAGCGGUGAAAUGCGUAGAUAUCAGGAGGAACACCGGUGGCGAAGGCGGCCUGCUGGACUGCAACUGACGUUGAGGCCCGAAAGCGUGGGGAGCAAACAGGAUUAGAUACCCCUGUAGUC
rnacentral:rRNA from 1 species